rnacentral:misc_RNA from 1 species
CACCUGUAAUUGCUGCUAGCCAGGUUAAAGAUCAUUACUUACCCAUUUUAGAAUUCCCAUUUUUCUUCUUAAAUCAAAGUAUCUAUAAUUGCUUUGUGUUUAAAAUUGCUUGUUUGGCUAUUUUCUGCUAACAAAACUAAUCUAUGCUUGCAAUUGUCCAACCUAUUCAAGGAAUUGGGUGGAAGUUCACUUAGAUAAUUGUUAGGAAUUACAUGUAUUGAGUUUAAUUACAAGCCUAAAACGGUCACUAAAAGGGCCUUUUCUUGAAGUCACUCUAAGUGAAGUAGGGAAAAAGAAUAGCUUGUGAGCUUAUACGUAUGUUGUGUUUGCCUGAGAAUUUAGUAAGCCCAAGGCUGCAUGGGUAGAGAUGUUGAGAUUUAGACUUUAGAGUGGUUAUUGUACAGUUGAAAGUGUAGAUAAGGGGAGGAACUUUUUGCUCUUUGGAGGGGCAUAUAGAAUUGGACUUGGGGUGAAAUUUCAUUAUGGUGGGAUGCUUUGAAGAUUGCAUUUGUUUUUCCUGGAAUUUUUCUAACAGGAGGCCCAGCAUCACAAACCAAACUAUUGUGGAGCAGUCUUACGAUACCUUACUUGUUUGUCUUUUAAUAAUGAGAAGUAAGAGUUUCUUAUUAAGUGUAGUGGAAAGAUUUGGGUGUGCCAGGCCUCUAUGACGAUCAUAACUUUUCAAAUUUUCAUUAUGAAAUUUUUGCUUAAUCUUUUCUAGUUUUAUUUAGCAAACCACAUCAUUCUUGUGUAUUCUGUUAUCUUCUCAUGCUUAUUUUUCUACUCGGCUAUUGUAACGAUAAUUUUUGUGGUGAGUGGCUCCUGUGCUGUGAAUGAGUCUGGAUUUGUUAAGCCUUGCAAACCUCAAGUCAUUUUACCUUAAAAAGAUUUAUUCUAUGCAGCCUUUAAGAGAGGAUGGAGUUUGAUUCUGUAAACAAAAACUUUAAGUGCAAUGUUUUUCAUUCUUUUACAAGAUCUCUCUAUAGGCAUUGAUAUCUUGCCAUAGUGCCUUAGAGGGGGCACAGGUUUUAGGUUUUUUUU